rnacentral:rRNA from 1 species
CAGUCGCCACGGGAAUACGGAGGGUGCAAGCGUUAAUCGGAAUUACUGGGCGUAAAGCGCACGCAGGCGGUCUGUCAAGUCGGAUGUGAAAUCCCCGGGCUCAACCUGGGAACUGCAUUCGAAACUGGCAGGCUAGAGUCUUGUAGAGGGGAGUAGAAUUCCAGGUGUAGCGGUGAAAUGCGUAGAGAUCUGGAGGAAUACCGGUGGUGAAGGCGGCCCCCUGGACAAAGACUGACGCUCAGGUGCGAAAGCGUGGGGAGCAAACAGGAUUAGAUACCCCGGUAGUCCCUGUCUCUUAUAC